rnacentral:rRNA from 1 species
UACGUAGGGUGCAAGCGUUGUCCGGAAUUAUUGGGCGUAAAGAGCUCGUAGGCGGUUUGUCGCGUCUGCUGUGAAACCCGAGGCUCAACCUCGGGCCUGCAGUGGGUACGGGCAGACUAGAGUGCGGUAGGGGAGAUUGGAAUUCCUGGUGUAGCGGUGGAAUGCGCAGAUAUCAGGAGGAACACCAAUGGCGAAGGCAGAUCUCUGGCCGUAACUGACGCUGAGACGCGAAAGCGUGGGAGCGAACAGG